GCUACUUCUUGAAUCGAUUGCAUCUUUCUUAAAGUCAGACUAACCGAUGCUUUGAGAUUUACAUAUACUGGAACAUUCAUAUGAUCGAAAAGAUUCUUUCCGACUUCUGGGAGAUCGCUCACCAGACUCGUUACGUGGCUCCAAAGUCCAAGCGAUGAGAACUUCUGUGUCUCCGUUUUAUAAGCCCAAUCUAAACUGGUCCCUUGCAUCAACGGGGCCAUCAACGGCAUCGCCGACAUCCAAUUGAAAUAACCACCCGCUUCCACGAGCAACACCGUGGUAUUUGAUAGAUCCGAUAGACGCGAUGCUAUCACGCAACCAGUCGUACCAGCGCCAACUUUGCAAAAGCAAAAAAUUUAACUGAUAAACGAGGACGAUAGAAGUUUGAUCAACGAUAUUGAGCUACGCUAUUUGGAUUUUCGAUGAUACCGAUUGGUUUAUUAAAUUGAUAAUGAUAAAAUAACGAUGACAUCAGUACCACGGAAGAUAGCAAAAUAUAAUUCCACAUAUUUUUAACGUUAAAAAAUAUAAGCUAUAUCACGUUAGAAA